GGACUUUUAUUAUACGAGUAUCGGAUGCGGAACGUUAGCCCCGAGGAUUCGGGGCCGACGCGUCAGACGCGGUGUCGGACAGUACCGAAAUUACAGACUACGGUCCGGGGUCGACCGGACAAAACGCUCUAGUGACUAUAUUAUAUUCCUCGGGUCACUGGCGCGCAUUUGUAUACCGAAUGUUCCGCAAGUCUAUGUAGGUAUAAUAGGUGCAAUAAUAUUACAUUAUGGGAUACCGCGGGCGGUGAUAAUACGGCCCCGGUCUUGGACGGAUUCUGAUAUGGGCAAUAAUAUUAU